rnacentral:rRNA from 1 species
UACAGAGGUCCCAAGCGUUGUUCGGAUUUAUUGGGCGUAAAGGGUGCGUAGGCGGCGGAGUAAGUUGGGUGUGAAAUCCCGGGGCUUAACCUCGGAAUUGCAUUCAAUACUGCUUCGCUAGAGUACUGGAGAGGAGGCUGGAAUUUACGGUGUAGCAGUGAAAUGCGUAGAUAUCGUAAGGAAGGCCGGUGGCGAAAGCGAGCCUCUGGACAGUUACUGACGCUGAUGCACGAAGGCCAGGGGAGCAAACGGG